rnacentral:lncRNA from 1 species
UAUUUUCCAACUUCUUCGAAAUCUUGAAUUUUUCGAUCUUCGACAAUACGGACCGAUUCUUCAAGACUCCGACUCAUUUCACGAAACUUGCCAACACAUAAGACUUAACAAUCUCCCCCUUUGGCAAUUUCGUGACAAAACUCACACAAACUCAAAAAUUAUAAUUUAAAGAAAAACGAAGUUCAAUUGUCAUCACCAAAACAUUGAACUCCUCGCGUGUAAUCCAAAUACAAUUUGAAACUUAAACUUACAUCAAAACUUCUAAAACAGACUCUAUGACUUAGACGCAAUAA